AUUGAACGCUGGCGGCAUGCCUUACACAUGCAAGUCGAACGGCAGCACGGGAGCAAUCCUGGUGGCGAGUGGCGAACGGGUGAGUAAUAUAUCGGAACGUGCCCAGUCGUGGGGGAUAACGUAGCGAAAGCUACGCUAAUACCGCAUACGAUCUACGGAUGAAAGCGGGGGAUCGCAAGACCUCGCGCGAUUGGAGCGGCCGAUAUCAGAUUAGGUAGUUGGUGAGGUAAAGGCUCACCAAGCCGACGAUCUGUAGCUGGUCUGAGAGGACGACCAGCCACACUGGGACUGAGACACGGCCCAGACUCCUACGGGAGCAGCAGUGGGGAAUUUUGGACAAUGGGCGCAAGCCUGAUCCAGCAAUGCCGCGUGCAGGAUGAAGGCCUCGGUUGGUAAACCGUUAGCGUUUUU
rnacentral:rRNA from 1 species